AACGAACGCUGGCGGCAUGCCUAACACAUGCAAGUCGAACGAGACCUUCGGGUCUAGUGGCGCACGGGUGCGUAACGCGUGGGAAUCUACCCUUGGGUUCGGAAUAACAGUUAGAAAUGACUGCUAAUACCGGAUGAUGACGUAAGUCCAAAGAUUUAUCGCCAAAGGAUGAGCCCGCGUAAGAUUAGCUUGUUGGUGGGGUAAUGGCCUACCAAGGCGACGAUCUUUAGCUGGUCUGAGAGGAUGAUCAGCCACACUGGGACUGAGACACGGCCCAGACUCGUACGGGAGGCAGCAGUGGGGAAAAUUGGACAAUGGGCGAAAGCCUGAUCCAGCAAUGCCGCGUGAGUGAUGAAGGCCUUAGGGUUGUAAAGCUCUUUUACCAGGGAUGAUAAUGACAGUACCUGGAGAAUAAGCUCCGGCUAACUCCGUGCCAGCAGCCGCCGUAA
rnacentral:rRNA from 1 species